ACGCAGUAGCAAAACUGAGUGGCAAACGGGUGAGUGUAAUGUGGGAAUCUGCCUUUUGGUUUGGAAUAACACGGGGAAACUUGUGCUAAUACCGAAUAAGCCCUUACGGGGAAAGUUUUAACGCCGAAAGAUGAGCCUGCACUUGAUUAGCUAGUUGGUAAGGUAAAAGCUUACCAAGGCAACGAUCAAUAGCUGUUCUUAGAGGAAGACCAGCCACAUUGGGACUGAGACACGGCCCAGACUCCUACGGGAGGCAGCAGUGGGGAAUCCUGCACAAUGGGGGAAACCCUGAUGCAGCGAUGCCGCGUGAGUGAAGAAGGCCUUUGGGUUGUAAAACUCUUUCGUCGGGGAAGAAAAUGACUGUACCCGAAUAAGAAGGUCCGGCUAACUUCGUGCCAGCAGCCGCGGUAAUACGAAGGGACCUAGCGUAGUCCGGAAUUACUGGGCUUAAAGAGCUCGUAGGUGGUUAAAAAAGUUGAUGGUGAAAUCCCAAGGCUCAACCUUGGAACUGCCAUCAAAACUUUUUAGCUAGAGUGUGAUAGAGGUAAGUGGAAUUUCUAGUGUAGAGGUGAAAUUCGUAGAUAUUAGAGAGAACACCAAAUGCGAAGGCAACUUACUGGGUCACUACUGACACUGAGGAGCGAAAGCAUGGGUAGCGAAAAGGAUUAGAUACCCUCGUAGUCCAUGCCCGUAAACGAUGUGUGCUAGACGUUGGAAAUAUAUUUU
rnacentral:rRNA from 1 species